UGGGGAAUAUUGGGCAAUGGGCGCAAGCCUGACCCAGCAACGCCGCGUGAAGGAAGAAGGCUUUCGGGUUGUAAACUUCUUUGACGAGGGACGAAACAAAUGACGGUACCUCGAAAACAAGCCACGGCUAACUACGUGCCAGCAGCCGCGGUAAUACGUAGGUGGCAAGCGUUGUCCGGAUUUACUGGGUGUAAAGGGCGCGUAGGCGGGUAAGCAAGUCAGAUGUGAAAUACCGGGGCUUAACUCCGGGGCUGCAUUUGAAACUGUUUAUCUUGAGUAUCGGAGAGGCAGGCGGAAUUCCUAGUGUAGCGGUGAAAUGCGUAGAUAUUAGGAGGAACACCAGUGGCGAAGGCGGCCUGCUGGGCUUUAACUGACGCUGAGGCUCGAAAGUGU
rnacentral:rRNA from 1 species